rnacentral:rRNA from 1 species
UACGGAGGGUGCAAGCGUUAUCCGGAUUCACUGGGUUUAAAGGGUGCGUAGGUGGGCAGUUAAGUCAGCUGUGAAAACUCGAGGCUCAACCUCGAGACGUCGGUUGAAACCAUCUGGCUAGAGUCCGGAAGAGGAGAGUGGAAUUCCCGGUGUAGCGGUGAAAUGCGCAGAUAUCGGGAAGAACACCCGUGGCGAAGGCGGCUCUCUGGGACGGUACUGACGCGUGAGACGCGAAAGCGUGGGGAGCGAACAGG